UCUCCGUAGGUGAACCUGCGGAGGGAUCAUUACAGAGUUCAUGCCCUACCGGGUAGAUCUCCCACCCUAUGUUAUUAUUACUUUGUUGCUUUGGCGGGCCGUUAGGCUCCGGCCCGACUACCGGCCCCGGCUGGUAUGCGCCCGCCAGAGGACCCAAAACCCUGAAUAUUAGUGUCGUCUGAGUACUAUAUAAUAGUUAAAACUUUCAACAACGGAUCUCUUGGUUCUG
rnacentral:misc_RNA from 1 species